GAUGAACGCUGGCGGCGUGCCUAAUACAUGCAAGUCGAGCGAACAGACGAGGAGCUUGCUCCUCUGACGUUAGCGGCGGACGGGUGAGUAACACGUGGAUAACCUACCUAUAAGACUGGGAUAACUUCGGGAAACCGGAGCUAAUACCGGAUAAUAUAUUGAACCGCAUGGUUCAAUAGUGAAAGACGGUUUUGCUGUCACUUAUAGAUGGAUCCGCGCCGCAUUAGCUAGUUGGUAAGGUAACGGCUUACCAAGGCAACGAUGCGUAGCCGACCUGAGAGGGUGAUCGGCCACACUAGAACUGAGACACGGUCCAGACUCCUACGGGAGGCAGCAGUAGGGAAUCUUCCGCAAUGGGCGAAAGCCUGACGGAGCAACGCCGCGUGAGUGAUGAAGGUCUUCGGAUCGUAAAACUCUGUUAUUAGGGAAGAACAAAUGUGGAAGUAACUAUGCACGUCUUGACGGUACCUAAUCAGAAAGCCACGGCUAACUACGUG
rnacentral:rRNA from 1 species